UACGGAGGAGGCAAGCGUUAUCCGGAAUUAUUGGGCGUAAAGGGUUUGUAGAUGGUUGGAUGUGUCUGCUGUUAAAGCCAAUAGCUCAACUAUUGAGGUGCAGCGGAAACUAUUCGACUAGAGGACAGUAGGGGCAGAGGGAAUUCCCAGUGUAGCGGUGAAAUGCGUAGAUAUUGGGAAGAACACCGGUGGCGAAAGCGCUCUGCUAGGCUGUACCUGACAUUGAUGAACGAAAGCUAGGGGAGCGAAAGGG
rnacentral:rRNA from 1 species